GCCUAGGCAACAGAGUGAGACCCUGUAUCUAAAAAAGUAAAAAACAGGAAAAUAAACCUCCAUUAGGUUCUACUCUUUCUGCCCUUCUCACUACUGCACUUGACUAGUCUCAA
ensembl:misc_RNA Y_RNA Y RNA